AGAGGGCCCGCAUGAAGCGGCUCGGGGGCGCGCCCAGACCGUGGCGGUGGAACUUGGCGAACGACACCACGUAGCCCUCCGGCGGCUGAGGCCCCCUGUGACUCGCCGGCGGCGCGAUCCACUCUGGCGACGAUAGCGAGGUACGGCGGCGCAGCAGUCCCUCCUUCUCAAGCUCUAACAACCGGCGCUCCGUCAUCGACGACGGGCGCCAGUCGUCGGCGGCGACGAGUCUUACAGGCAUCUCGGC
rnacentral:lncRNA from 1 species